AGACCUUAAUUUACACCGAACCCUAACUCUAGCCGCUAGUCCUUCGCCGAGAAAGGGAGCCGACCGCCGCCCGCUGCCGCGCCGAAACCACCUUCGACUGCCAAAAAAGGUAAAAAAAACUUCAUUUGCUCGAAAUUUAAUUUUGAACACCUCCAUGGCCAAAUCAAAGCAAAAGGACCAGCGGAUGAACCGAAAACUACAGGUAAAACCCAGCGGUACCACUGCAGAAAAAAUCAAAAACCACCUCCGAUGAGCCACUUUCUAAUUCUCGUUUCGUGCGAUUUUUUCACCAUUAUAUUC
rnacentral:lncRNA from 1 species